GACGAACGCUGGCGGCGUGCUUAACACAUGCAAGUGAACGGACUUUACGAGAAUGAAGUUUUCGGAUGGAAUUUUCGAAGAGUUAGUGGCGGACGGGUGAGUAACGCGUGAGGAACCUGCCUUUCAGAGGGGGACAACAGUUGGAAACGACUGCUAAUACCGCAUGAGACCACGACCCGGCAUCGGGAUGGGGUCAAAGAUUAAUCGCUGAGAGGUGGGCUCGCGUCUGAUUAGAUAGUUGGUGGGGUAACGGCCUACCAAGUCGACGAUCAGUAGCCGACCUGAGAGGGUGAUCGGCCACAUUGGGACUGAGACACGGCCCAGACUCCUACGGGAGGCAGCAGUGGGGAAUAUUGCGCAAUGGGGGCAACCCUGACGCAGCAACGCCGCGUGAAGGAUGAAGGUUUUCGGAUCGUAAACUUCUGUCGUAAGGGACGAAUUUUGACGGUACCUUACAAGGAAGCCACGGCUAACUACGUG
rnacentral:rRNA from 1 species